UACGGAGGGUGCAAGCGUUAUCCGGAUUCACUGGGUUUAAAGGGUGCGUAGGUGGGUCUGAAAGUCAGUGGUGAAAUCUCCGGGCUCAACCCGGAAACUGCCAUUGAUACUACAGGUCUUGAAUUUUCUGGAGGAUAGCGGAAUAUGUCAUGUAGCGGUGAAAUGCUUAGAUAUGACAUAGAACACCAAUUGCGAAGGCAGCUGGCUACACAAAUAUUGACACUGAGGCACGAAAGCGUGGGGAUCAAACAGG
rnacentral:rRNA from 1 species